rnacentral:piRNA from 1 species
GGAGAUGGACAAUGACUUAUGGGUGUCAGC